GUGAUGGAGACGUGUUCAACCCUCAGUUCCGAAGCUUCUCUAUUCCGGUUGUUUUGUUGCCUUUAAAGUGUGUUUUAUAGCCUAAUAGAGUUUACCUAGGAUCGGAUCCACUCUUUGCGUCCGUGGACUACACCUCUCUGUUCUUCGUGGCCUUUCUCCACUGGAAAUCUGUUGGAGGCUUGGAUUUUCUGACUGACCGACUACAACAUUUUGUAUACGAGAAAGGUGUUCUGGGGACCUUUUCAAAUGUCUGAAAUCGCCAUCUAUUUCUAGUGAUCAGUCAGGGAAAACUCAGGAGCCAGCUCUGAAUAAGUGUAGACAGCCUGCUGCUGCCCGCUACCGCUGUGCUAAUCAUCAGAUGAGGGGAGGAGAGGAGGUGGGAAAGGGCAGUAUGGAGUGCAAUAAAGAUUGCGUCAUCUGUGGAUCUGUUGGGGCAGCAUUUGAAUUAUAUGGUGGGUCCAGGGUUUCUGGGAUGAUAAUGUUGAUGUGAGCCAUUACCAGCCUUUCAAAUAAUUGAAUGGCUACAGAUGUGAGUGCUACAGGGCGAUAGUCAUUUAGACAGGUUACUUUGUCAAUCUUGGGCAACUGGGGGCCCCUGCCUUGAUUGGGUAACUGAUUAAUAAAACUAUUCAAAUAAACUGCAUAAUAAAUGAAUGUGACUGGUCAAUUGUUUGAGUCAGGACUGGGCCGAAGCCCGUAAGGGGCCCAAGAGGCAAUGUUUAUCUUUAUCCAACCACAUUUCUAUAUUGCUUUUCAUAACAA